CCUACGGGAGGCAGCAGUGAGGAAUAUUGGACAAUGGGCGCAAGCCUGAUCCAGCCAUGCCGCGUGCAGGAUGACGGUCCUAUGGAUUGUAAACUGCUUUUAUACGAGAAGAAACACUCCGACGUGUCGGAGCUUGACGGUAUCGUAAGAAUAAGGAUCGGCUAACUCCGUGCCAGCAGCCGCGGUAAUACGGAGGAUCCAAGCGUUAUCCGGAAUCAUUGGGUUUAAAGGGUCCGUAGGCGGUUUAAUAAGUCAGUGGUGAAAGCCCAUCGCUCAACGGUGGAACGGCCAUUGAUACUGUUAAACUUGAAUUAUUAGGAAGUAACUAGAAUAUGUAGUGUAGCGGUGAAAUGCUUAGAGAUUACAUGGAAUACCAAUUGCGAAGGCAGGUUACUACUAAUUGAUUGACGCUGAUGGACGAAAGCGUGGGUAGCGAACAGGAUUAGAUACCCUGGUAGUCCACGCCGUAAACGAUGGAUACUAGCUGUUGGGAGCAAUCUCAGUGGCUAAGCGAAAGUGAUAAGUAUCCCACCUGGGGAGUACGUUCGCAAGAAUGAAAACUCAAAAGUAAGUAGUUACGGACGUCGUAGACGAGUACCGAACCGGAACGGACCGAACCGACCGGGGAAGGGGUUAAGGGAGGGGAG
rnacentral:rRNA from 1 species